AGCCACAUGUUUAAGACAUAGCAAACUAUUAUUUCACCUUUAUUAAAGAAUACUGUGUCUUGGCCACUCAAAGCAGCAUACACCAGUUUUUAGAGGCUUUCUCUACUACUUAGAGGAG